CGAUUUCGGGGUGAAAUGGGGCGAAAACUGAAAUAGUGCAUUUGCGGAGCUAUAAAUAUUGAAAUUAGGUGAAAAAGUGGGAAAAAUUAAAAAGCAGUUUGAGGUAAAUAAUUGAGUUUUUCGCUAUUAGCAACGUGACUUUCUUAAAAUGUCAUUUUUAAGAGGGUGUUUAGUGUUUUUUCGGAUUUUUAUUUUAUUAAACGGUUUCAAAGCUGACAACCAAACACACAUCUACGCAAACUGAAACUUAUUUUGCUAGUGUGAAACUGGCUUCAUAUUCGGGUUUCUUCGUAAAUUCGCGGAGCUGGUUUGGGGAGCUGUCUUCACACAAAUGUGGACGUAACAAUGACAACAGUGUUGUUUUGUCACUCAUCGUUCAACGUGUUACCGGAAUUCGUUAGUGAGUCAAUUCCUGGUGUUGAGCGCCGACCAAAAAGAUAAGUAUCUCUUCUUUUGUUAAUAUAACCUCAUCUUUUUGAUUGGUGUUUCUUUCUAUUUUAAAGGCAUUGGUCUCUGGGCUGGAGUGACGGAUUUUUGAUUUCUACUACUCAAGCGAACUUUAGUCAUGGCUGGUUAUCGCAAAUAUUCCUGCAAAUACCCCGGAUGCACCAGUGGUUAUGUUCCCAACAAAGGACAGUCCAAUAAGCAUUUCUUCACCUUCCCUAAGAAUCCAAAGCUUCAAGAAUUGUGGAGGAAUGCCUGCAAAAUUGAGGAUCCUGUAAGUUGAAAAUUUUGGCGUUUUCUCUAUUUAGGGUAUUUCAGAAUUUACUUUUAAGUUUCUUAUUUGCGCUCGAGUGUGUCAGUGCACUGCAUGUACCUCCUCGUGGUCGUAGCGUGGGCAACUGUUUGCUGACAGACAAGGUAAAAGUCAUUGCAAAGCAGACCUUAUUUUGUUUUAAGUCUCGAGCAGACAGGCAAAACAUGCCAACACUGACUGAUUUAAUUUUUUGAUAACUUUUGUAUAAUUAAGAAAUAAUACAAUACUUUAAUUUUUUGAAAAAUUUAAUUUGUUAUGUUACUCAAGUGUACAAUAAAAAUGUUAACAAAG